rnacentral:rRNA from 1 species
UACAGAGGGGGCAAGCGUUGUUCGGAAUUACUGGGCGUAAAGGGCGCGUAGGCGGCCUGUUAAGUCGAACGUGAAAUCCCCGGGCUCAACCCGGGAACUGCGUCCGAUACUGGCAGGCUUGAAUUCGGGAGAGGGAUGCGGAAUUCCAGGUGUAGCGGUGAAAUGCGUAGAUAUCUGGAGGAACACCGGUGGCGAAGGCG